UACGAAGGGGGCGAGCGUUGUUCGGAUUUACUGGGCGUAAAGGGCGCGUAGGCGGCCCUUCUUGUCGCGUGUGAAAGCCCCGGGCUCAACCUGGGAACGGCGCGCGAGACGGGGGGGGCUGGAGUUCGGGAGAGGAGCGUGGAAUUCCCAGUGUAGAGGUGAAAUGCGUAGAUAUCGGGAGGAACACCUGUGGCGAAAGCGGCGCAC
rnacentral:rRNA from 1 species